rnacentral:rRNA from 1 species
AGAGUUUGAUCAUGGCUCAGGAUGAACGCUAGCUACAGGCUUAACACAUGCAAGUCGAGGGGCAGCAUGGUCUUAGCUUGCUAAGGCCGAUGGCGACCGGCGCACGGGUGAGUAACGCGUAUCCAACCUGCCUUACACUCUUGGACAGCCUCCUGAAAAGGAGAUUAAUACAAGAUGUUAUCAUGAGUAAGCAUUUUCGCAUGAUUAAAGGUUUACCGGUGUAAGAUGGGGAUGCGUUCCAUUAGAUAGUAGGCGGGGUAACGGCCACCUAGUCUUCGAUGGAUAGGGGUUCUGAGAGGAAGGUCCCCCANAUUGGAACUGAGACACGGUCCAAACUCCGUACGGGAGGCA